rnacentral:rRNA from 1 species
CGGAGGAUCCAAGCGUUAUCCGGAUUUAUUGGGUUUAAAGGGUGCGUAGGCGGGACAGUAAGUCAGUGGUGAAAUCCUAUCGCUUAACGAUAGAAUUGCCAUUGAUACUGCUGACCUUGAGUACAAAUGAUGUGGGCGGAAUGUGCAGUGUAGCGGUGAAAUGCUUAGAUAUUGCACAGAACACCGAUAGCGAAGGCAGCUCACAAAAAUGUAACUGACGCUGAGGCACGAAAGUAUGGGGAUCAAACAGGAUUAGAUACCCUGGUAGUCCAUACAGUAAACGUUGAUAACUCGAUGUGUGCGAUAUACAGUACGCGUCCAAGGGAAACCGAUAAGUUAUCCACCUGGGGAGUACGACCGCAAGGUUG